rnacentral:rRNA from 1 species
UGUAGUCAUAUGCUUGUCUCAAAGAUUAAGCCAUGCAUGUCUAAGUAUAAACACCUUUAUACAGUGAAACUGCGAAUGGCUCAUUAAAUCAGUUAUAGUUUAUUUGAUAGUACCUCACUACAUGGAUAACCGUAGUAAUUCUAGAGCUAAUACAUGCGAAAAGACCCGACUUCUGGAAAGGUUGUAUUUAUUAGAUAAAAAACCAAUGCGGAGCAAUCCGGUUUUUGGUGAAUCAUAAUAACUUAACGGAUCGCAUGGCCUCGUGCCGGCGAUAGUUCAUUCAAAUUUCUGCCCUAUCAACUUUCGACGGUACGGUAUUGGCCUACCAUGGUUACAACGGGUAACGGGGA